AACAGAGAGAAGCGAGACGGAGACGUUAAGCGAACCCAAAAAAAGUAAGUCUCAGUUCGGAUUGAAGGCUGAAAUUCGCCUUCAUGAAGCCGGAAUUGCUAGUAAUGGCAGGUCAGCAUACUGCCGUGAAUACGUUCCCGGGCCUUGUACACACCGCCCGUCACACCAUGAGAGUCGGGAACACCCGAAGCCCGUAGCCUAACAGCAAUGAGGGCGCGGUCGAAGGUGGGUUCGAUAAUUGGGGUGAAGUCGUAACAAGGUAUC
rnacentral:rRNA from 1 species